UCUCCUAUAACUGUUCUGAGACCAGUGCAGACAGACAGCACACUGGAGGUUAAGUCAUGCACUAAAUAGGGAGCAAGGGAGCAUCCUAUAGCUCUCUAUAACUGUUCUGAGACCAGUGCAGACAGACAGCACACUGGAGGUUAAGUCAUGCACUAAAUAGGGAGCAAGGGAGCAUCCUAUAGCUCUCUAUAACUGUUCUGAGACCAGUGCAGACAGACAGCACACUGGAGGUUAAGUCAUUCACUAAAUAGGGAGCAAGGGAGCAUCCUAUAGCUCUCCUAUAACUGUUCUGAGACCAGUGCAGACAGACAGCACACUGGAGGUUAAGUCAUUCACUAAAUAGGGAGCAAGGGAGCAUCCUAUAGCUCUCCUAUAACUGUUCUGAGACCAGUGCAGACAGACAGCACACUGGAGGUUAAGUCAUUCACUAAAUAGGGAGCAAGGGAGCAUCCUAUAGCUCUCCUAUAACUGUUCUGAGACCAGUGCAGACAGACAGCACACUGGAGGUUAAGUCAUUCACUAAAUAGGGAGCAAGGGAGCAUCCUAUAGCUCUCUAUAACUGUUCUGACACCAGUGCAGACAGACAGCACACUGGAGGUUAAGUCAUGCACUAAAUAGGGAGCAAGGGAGCAUCCUAUAGCUCUCUAUAACUGUUCUGAGACCAGUGCAGACAGACAGCACACUGGAGGUUAAGUCAUGCACUAAAUAGGGAGCAAGGGAGCAUCCUAUAGCUCUCUAUAACUGUUCUGAGACCAGUGCAGACAGACAGCACACUGGAGGUUAAGUCAUGCACUAAAUAGGGAGCAAGGGAGCAUCCUAUAGAGCUCUAUAACUGUUCUGAGACCAGUGCAGACA